UGAAGAAGAAGAGGGUCUUCUUCUAGGGUUUUUAUUUUCAUAUCUUUCCUCCUUCCAUCUUGAGUUUCCUGAGAGUGUCUCAGAUCUGAAACUUCUCCUUCUACUUUCCAUCUUUGGAAGAGUCCAAAUCAAGAAGAAGGAGGCACCUGAUCAACCAUCAAAGAAGGAUCAGCGCAGUACUAGCAUACUGUGCUGAUUUUUUGAAGCAGAACUUCUGAUCGAGAUUCGUGGGCUCGUGUGGAUGACUCCUAGAGGCCAGACGCAUGUGCGGCUUGCAACAUCAUCCUUAAGCCCGGAUCAGCGAGGUUAGAGCAUCUAACUUGCAAGGUAAUAGCUCUGAUCUAUUGUUUAAUACAUACAUUAGAUGUGGUAUAAAAACAUGUUGAUAUGAUCAACAUGUAGUUCAUGCUAUAUUUAUAUAUUUUAAUUUUUGAUUUAAUUCCAUGUAAUAAUCAUGUAAUAGGAUCUUAGAUCUAGGGAUUCUCUAGUUUUAGAAAAUAAAUUUUGAUUUAUUUUAGUCUUCCGCUGUAUGAUCUUGAAAAAG
rnacentral:lncRNA from 1 species